rnacentral:lncRNA from 1 species
AUUUACAGACUCUUUAAGGAGGUUGAAAGAUAUAUGUGCCUACAUGUGAUAUUGUUACACCAUAAAUUCACCAGGUUCCAUGCCACUAUAAAAGAAAAUUGGAUUCAGAGAUGGAGCUACAACUUCCUCAGAAGUUUUUCAUGACCAUGGUGAAAAUAAUCAUUUUGAACUGAGAGAGGAGAGAAGAACUUGGGAGAAGCCCAAGAGAAGUUUACAUUGAAUUAGGACCUCUGCGCUGUAACUUUGUCAUCUUGUUACAGCAAAGUGGGACAGCUCAGCAUUAUAGCCAAGAGUUACAGCCAAGUGUUGUGGCUAUUUAAAGGUCUCUGGUGGUGAAGAAGUUGAGUAGCACUCAGAGAAAUGGAGAGAUUCUUUAUUAUGCCGGCAGACUUAGAGGAGUUGUACUCCAAACUCUGAGCCCUGUAUGCAAUGCGAGCAACCUGAUACAGAGAUUUUCAAGAUCUGGCAUAGCCCAGAAAGCACAGGAAACUGUUGGCCUGAAUGAAGGUGGGAGCCUCUUCAUCUCUCCUCACUGCAUCUCCAGACUACUCUAUCCGGUCUUCACCCAUAAGAAAGUGCACAGCCACAGGUCUGGACUUUGAGGUAUCCAGAUUAUGAUUCAUCAUUUCCACAUCUGUAGCAAAGGAAUAACUUUUCACAUUACUUUACAAAGUGUUUCUUAAAUGUAACAGGUCAGAAAUUAGGUGAGAGACAGCAGGAGUGAUGUUCUGCAUCCUUGGAGGAUUGUCCAUAAAUUCAGGGUUUGUGGGAGUCACAGGGCUGUGGACAACUGUUCUGAUGCUUUCCUCCUUCUAGAUACAAAGUAGGACUGCAUCUUUCCACUCUCUUUGAGGGUCAGUUUUCUUGGUCAAGGUGGAGAAAUCAAUAGAGAAAGUCCCAUAAAAAGCACUUUGAUAUGGUGAUUUCCAUGAACUACAUUGGUUCCAAGAUUAUGAGAAGUAUAUUCUCAUUCUGUGUCUGAUUCCAAGUUAUGUGCAGCCAUGUUAUUCAGCACAUCCUAGCAGAGGCCUUUGUAAUGAGAUAAACAAUUCUAUUAAAGCACUCCAAAAAUAGCAUACAGGUGCCCAAUAUUUUCAUAUAAAUGAACCUCCUGAUAUCAAAUUUCUAAGGAGAAAUUUAAGUCUGAAGGUUAAGGUCCUUUCAUAUUAAAGUAAAAAAUAUAAAGCUCUUGAUGAUUUUAUGUCAGAAAUUAGAUUCACUGGUUCUUCUGAGUUAAAGUUCAAAGAAAUCAAAUUGCACAGUAAUUGUGCUUCUGGCCAGCCUAACAUUUGCAAUGCUGUGGCAGAUCUGAAGUUCCCUCGAUUGCUGAAGCUUUAGCUGUCUCUCUCCAGGUGGAGGCUGUUCAUUUAGGAGCUUCAAAGUUGCAGUCUUCUCUUACCAACCAGACUUCAUCAUGAGGAGUCAAUUGGACUAGGGCUGGGGAUUUAGCUCAGUGGUUCUGGUGCCUGCCUUGCAAGUGCGAGGUCCUGAGUUCGAUCCCCAGUACCAAAAAAAAAGUCAAUGGGACAUAAGACAUUGACACAGAACCAUCCCAUACCAAUGGGUGCGCUGGGUGGAGGGUGAAGUCAAUGCUCAGAAUCUAAAGCCAUUAUUCUAGGAGAAAAAAAAGAAAGAACUACAUAACAGGGUCUCAAAGUUGCUGUUGCGAAAGAUCAUAGCAGACUCUCAGCAGCAUCUCCUAAGGUGGCAUAAGCUCUUGAUACCAGCCUCACCAGAAUGCCACUCCCACUUGGUUAGCUGUCUGUCAUCUAUAAAUAUACCACACCUGUGGGACACCUGUGGUAGGGAUGGGAAGUAGAAUCUAUCCGUGCAAGCUGCCACUUCUCUCAGAGAGUGACAUUAGAAAUGUUGCUGAAUUCUUCCUUUCAUAACUGAUAAAAUUUUCCACUUUGCAUAUUCAAACCCUGUUCAUUCCCACACAUCUAGUACACUGCUGCUACAAGGAGAGUAGGUUUCACCUAGAGAUAAGACUUGCAUUCUUGUGGAGGAGGCAUUUUCAGCCCUGUGUGCCAGGGGCAGCUGCCCUGGCCACUUGCCACAGGAUUAAUUUGGUUUGUGCAUUGUACCUUCUAGGGAAGAUUUUUCCCUAGUCUUCAAGUGUGUUUAGACCCUCUCUUUUCCUAUCAUAGAACCCUUGGCCCAGUCAGCCCUGCUAACUAAGACUCCUGCAGCCUAUAACACUUCUCUGCUCAGCCUGCACAUCCAUGUUAGGAUUAGUACUAUGGAAUUAAAACCACUCAUCUUCUGCAAUAAAAGUGGAAAAGUAAUAAUAUUGCCUCUGUAUAAAGAAAUAAUACCUAACAAACAAACCAAAAUCCAUGACAUCCCUAAAAAUGGGCAGAGAAUAUAGGUAGAAAUAUCCCAGAACAAAU